UUUUAUUCCAUUAUUUUUUAUGAUAAUGUGUAUUAUUUUGCAACUGCGAUAUUCUAAUUUUUCUGUAUUUAUUUUUUUGAAGGUUUUCAAGCACAAUUUGAUAUUGGAGAUUGAAAUAGCCAAUUGAAUAUAUUUUAUGUUCAAUCAAUGUAGUUUAAUGAACUUUUGGAACAUUUCAUUUGUUCAAAAUUUUAUGUUGGAUAGAUAAUUGAUUAAUGGUUGUGUUAUGAUGAAUUUGUAAUAUAUUUAUUUUGUUUUAGUAUAUUUAAAUUUUCUAAUUCAGAUUUGUUAUUUGGGUUAUAAUAUCCAAAUCUUUAAAUUUUUUUGUUAUUGA
rnacentral:lncRNA from 1 species